GACGAACGCUGGCGGCGUGCUUAACACAUGCAAGUCGAACGGUGGAGCGCCUUCCUUUUUGGUGGGUGUGGAUGAGCGGCGAACGGGUGAGUAACACGUGAGUAACCUGCUCCCUCUUUCUGGAUAACGGCAAGCAGGUGUGGCUACUACGGGAUAUUUUGAGCCUCUCGCUUCAUGGGUGUGGGACGGUUUUGGUGUCGGUGGGGGAUGGGCUCGCGGACCAUCAGCUUGUUGGUGGGGUGACGGCCUACCAAGGCGGUGACGAGUAGCCGGCCUGGGAGGGUGGACGACCACAGUGGGGAGGAGACGCCCCCACGACUACGACAGGCGGCAGCAGUGAGGAAUACUGCACGGUGGGCGGAAGGCUGAUGCAGCGACGCCGGGGGAAGGAUGGAGUCCGUAUGGUAGUGAACUUCUUUCGGCAGUGAACCAGUCCGGAAGCAUUUGUGGGUAGGUUGACGGUAGCUGGAUAAGAAGCGCCGGCUAACUACGUG
rnacentral:rRNA from 1 species